AUAUUCCAUUAUUAUUAUUGUCAUGCAAUGUUAUAUGUGCGACAGUUUUCCGCUGGACACUCUCGUGUUACCUCAUUACCCUACACCGUCCUCAGUAUUUUUAUACAACUAAAAAUAUUUAUAAAUAUAGUUUAUAAUUAAUCACUGAUUUUUAAUUCACUAGCCAUUAAAAAAAAAAUUACCAAUUAAUUAGUAAUUUUAUUUUAAAAAAAUAAUUUUUUUUUCUUUUAAUUUUUACUGUAAUUAAUAUUUAAUGUGCCGGGAAUAUUUUAUUACGUAACAUAAAAAAUAUAUAUAUACAUAUAUACUCACAGUGAUAUUAAAUAUUAGUGCCACUAUUAUAUAAAAAAAAAAAAAAAAAAAACGUGUGUUAGUAUAUUGAUGUGUUUUUAAAAAGUGUAAAAAAAUUAUCAUUCUCUCGGUGACAUUUCUACGAAUUACUGACAUAUAUAUAUUUUUUUUUUUUAAUAAUUAUAAUUAUUAAAUAUUAGUGAUUGUUAUUACGUAUAACAAUCGAAUGAAGUCAUCAUUUUGUAAUUAUUGGCAAACAAGAUUUGCAAAUGAAUCACACAACAAUAAAAUCGUGGCUGUCACGCGGUGAAUUUGAAAAACUUGAACAUGUUGUAUUGGAAGGCCGUGGCGCCCGUUUACUAGGCGAACAUUCACCAGAUCUUAAAACUCGAGCAUUUUUACGAUCACUUCCUAAUUAUUUGACGAAAAUAAGUCAAGUUCACGAUACGAUACCACGUGGGUCCUUAGAAGAGUUGAAAAAAUUUUUAAGCGAUGAACCAAAAAAAAAAUACGCUUUUGCUAAAGACACAUCCGGGACACCAUUGUUACAUAAAGCUGUUUAUUAUGAUCAUCAAGACAUUGUCGAGUGGUUGAUACAAAAUUAUCCAAAUACAGUUCGUCAAAAAGAUCGAGAAGGCAGGACUGCGUUACAUUACUGCGGUAAUUGCAAAGAUCCAGAAGUAAUUUGGGAUUUAUUAAUUGAUGCUGGAUGUGACUCGAGUAUUUGUGACAAACGGGGGCAUCCUGCGGCUUAUUAUCUUCAGCACGCUGAUAAAAUAGAAUUGUCUGAACCCGACAAAAUGGACGAGCAUAAAUUCUCGAACAAAAAUGAAGUUUUGGACGUCAAGCCAUCAAAUAUCAGAAUAUGGAUCCACAACCGCGAUAUUAAAAAACUGCAACAAGUUUUAUGGGAAGGCCACGGUUCUAAACUCCAAUGCGAAAUAAGCAACAAUCCACGCGUCAGAAAAUUUUUAGAAGCUGUUCCUUUUAUUAUGGUCACCAUAAAACAAAUUCACCAAGCGGUCGUUAAAAAUGAUAUAAAUACUCUGCAAGAUAAAAUUGCUGAUCCUGUAUCACCGAUAAUACUUUCCGCUAAAGAUAGCAAUGGAUUAAAUCCUUUGCAUAAGGCUGCAGGUCUAGGUCAUUUAGAAAUCGCAACGGAAAUCGUUGAAAAGUUUUCCCAAGCGACUAUAGCUCAAGACAAUGAGGGUAAAACGCCAUUACAUUACGCGGCGGCUUUAAAAGAUGGCGGCGAUAUGUACGAUCUUUUGGUCGAGUAUGGGGCAGAUGAAAGUAAAUUAGACAAUAAACAAAAAGCUGCAGGUUUUUAUAGAAACCGCCCAGGAGACAUUGACAUGUCUACUUUGGUCGUGAUACCCGACGCCCCUCGGGUGUCAGGCAACGAGUACCCGAAAAAUUGGGACUGGAGAAUUUUGGAGUCCGAGGGCUCGACCCGAUCGAAAAAACGCAGUCCUGCUGAUAGCGCUUUUGGAAGCGCCGAGAGUACGAUGAAGAGUUCGAGCUCGGACGUAAUUGGGGAGGGCGAAGAACCAGAUCCUGAUGAACCGACACCAGAAGAUGAUCCAGAGGCAGAAGCUGAUCCUGAUCCUGAACCAGAACCUGAUGAAAAUGAUGAUAAUCCAGAACCUGAUCCAGAAGAACCGGAACCUGAUACUGAAGAACCAGAACCUGAUGAAGAAGAACCAGAACCUGAUGCAGAGGAACCAGAACCUGAUGAAGAACCAGAACCUGAUGCAGAAGAACCAGAGCCUGAAGCAGAAGAACCAGAACCUGAAGCAGAGGAACCAGAACCUGAUGCAGAAGAACCAGAACCUGAUGCAGAACCGGAAGCUAACGAGAAUGAAGAAGAAAAAAAUGAACCAAGUACAGGAGAUUCAGGUGUUGAUGAAAUAGCUGCCGACGAUCAGGUUAUCGUUGGCGAGCAUGAAGAACUGCCCGAAGCGGAGCUUGAUGACGCGGGCAUGCCCGACGACCCUGAAGUUGAAGAUCUUCUGGUGAACGGGAACAUGGAACAAUUAGCGGCCUUAGUCCUCAAUGGGGAAGGAAAACGUCUACUGGGCAGGCAAUCGGGAAAUCCGGAUCUCCAGGCAUUCAUCGAUAAUGUUCCUUCAUAUAUUGGCAAAAUUCACACGGUCCAUAUUGCGGCCAAAGAAGGAAACCUGAGAGAUCUACAGAACGCAUUGGACAGACGUAAAUUCGCGAUUGCUAGAGACAAUACUUCGCCUCAUGGUGCGACGCCUCUGCAUGUCGCUGUCAUUUUUGGACACACGGCAAUCAUCAGAUAUUUAGCGGGAAGGUUUCCAGAAACAGCUCACGCAGUUGACGUCGAUGGCCGCACUGCCCUCCAUUACGCGGCAACUUUAGCAGACAAUGGCCACUAUUACAACCUACUCCUCCAUUUGGGCGCCAACCCGCUCACUAAAGACAACUUCGAGCAUAAAGCCGACUUCUACCGCGAUCACCAGGAAGACCUAUCGCACAAACGUCUUCUGCGGGAUUUCGGCGCCCGCGAAGAACUCGCGGACGAAAUGUUAACCGACAAAGUUGCGGGUGGUGACGUAUAUUCAUCACGACGUGACAUAACUGAAGCCGAUACCCUUACAAUGCUGGAGCGUUGUUUCCGUCUGCUUGCCAGCAAUCGUAGGAACUCGGUGCCAAAUACACCAACAGCAAAUGCCGGUACAAUGUUGAGACGUUGUAUGAAACGUCCAGUAUUUGAAAAAAUCAAGCACCGUGUGACUCGCAUGGACCACAAUCUUUUUGACGUUAUUUGGCCGUCUUUGCAGAAAUACCAAACCCUUAACAACAAUAAUAGUUACCCCUCAAAUCAAAUUAUUAGCGCUAGUAGUAGUAGAUCAAUGCUAGAUAUCGACAACGACUUUGACGGAAUAGUCGUCGUCCCAGAUUACGAGAGUUACUACGUAUUUUCUGAGCUUCUUGACCCAUUGAUCCGUAACCUGCAUUGCGUGACCGCAACGGGGGAGCUUCCAGAUCAACCUCCGCCAUCUUUUUUCUUCGACCCCGAGGAAUUGGACGAGAAUGACAACAUAGGUGAUAACAUAUCACUGAUCGCGGGAUUCGAUAUCGACCCUACGGGCAAAUAUGUAUCCGCUGGAACCGUCGACGCCUGUCGUAAUUUGGAGGCCUUCCCACUGCCGCUGACUCUGACGAUAAACCAACUCGAGGAAACGGAGAAACAGAUAACCGGGGUCCUGAUUGGCGCUGAAGUUUCCCUGAUCAUGGCAGAGGGCAGCAGUGAAGACGAAGGGGGAGUUUACUACACAUUAAAUGAAGUCCUAGAGCGGCCAAGUGACAUCAGAAUGCGGCUCGCGGCCGCGGGGUUACUGGUCCCGAUUAACGAAACGGAAAUGAGCGACGAAAAGCGACUGCAUGGGCGCCAUUGGCCGUACGGCCGCGGGGUCUACGUCGCCAGUGCGGGAGAUGUCGCUGUCUGGGUCAAUGUCCAGGACCAUUUGAGAAUAAUUGCGUGCACUUCCGAAAAUAAACCCGGGCAAAUUGGAAAGGCCUACGUCCGAAUCGCUAAAAUCUUGACCAUUUUGGACAAAAAGUUCAGGUUCAAAAGGGACAAGAAGUUGGGGUUUCUCAGCGCGAGACCUUCCGCGGUAGGAAACACUUUGAGGUUCAGUGUCAUUAUAAAACUCCAGAGUCUGUCCAAAAAAAUGGAUAAUUUGAAGGAACUGUGUAUUGUUCGGGGCCUUAAGCCCUCGGAGACAAUGCGCAGUGACACUUUUAAAAUAAGUAACCAGCAGUGUUUGAGUAUCACUGAACUACAAACGCUUCAGGACUUCAUUAACGCGGUAGUCAGUAUUAUUGGACUGGAAAAAGAGAUGAUUUUGAGCAAUUCAAUGAAUAUCGCAUCGUUAAUUGUCAAUAUGUUCAAGAAAAAAUCAGCACGUAAAUUUAGGGGAUGAAUUUUGUAUUUUAUUUUAAUAAUUUUUAAUUCUAAAUACUGUGUAAUUUUAAGUGAUAAAUUUUACGAUUGUUAUAAUAAUUAAUAAUUUAUUUUUUUAAAUUUAUCUUUUAUUUGAAUAUUUAUCAGUAUUAAUAUUAAUGUUUAAUAAAUAGCAAUUUAUUUAUCUGUGAUAAUUUUAGUGGCUCAAUUUAAUUAUUAAUUAUUUUUAUUAGUGUUAUUGUUUAUAUAUAUGUAUAAAAUAAGAAUAUUUAGGUUAUUAGUUAUAAGAGAAGUGAAUAGGUUAGAAAUAUAUGAAAAAAUGUAUUUAUGGUAAUAUUGGAAAGAUGUGUGAGAUCUUUAUCUUCAUCUAGACAACGGGACGAUAGUCAGUUUAAUUUUAAAAAUAGUAGAUUUAUUUUUGAUGGCGGCUGGAAAAACUACUGGAGUGUAUUUUGGACGACGGUGAAGAUUUUCCGAUCUUUCGUGAAGAAGAUGGACGAUAUUUAGCUUCCUCAUUGGGCGCACCGUUAAUUAAAGGAUUGACUGAAGUCGUACACAAACGGCCUCAAAAUCCAGUGACGUACUUGGCAACGUAUUUAAAUAAUUUUGCAAGUAAAAGUCGGGAAAAUGAAUAUUCAUCUC